ACCACAGGGAGCUCACUGAGCGGGACUGAGAUGAUGGAUGCUGGUCCGGGAAAUUCUGCGCAUGCGUGGCGCCAUCCCAUGAACUCCCUUGGAAGUCGCGUCUCGUCUCUACUUCUCAGAGAUCCUGAAGAGAUUGAAAAGGAAGAGCAGGCCGCGGCUGAAACGGCUGUGGCCAGGAGGAAUUUCAGGGUGAAUGGACUGCUCCAACUCCCGAAUUUACUGCUACCCAACCAGAGGUCGCCGGCUGGUCGGAAGGUGCAGGUGUCCCCUGAGCCUGUUCAGCAGUUCCCUACUGAGUCUGACUGGUCUGCAACUGCCACUGCUCAGGCCACCAAACGGGUGGGUACAACCACUGAAUGGUCUUAGUCUGUCCUUCCACAGACUGUUCAACAGAAAAUGGAAGUAAGGUUGAUGGAAAAUAAACAGCUUCUAAGAAAAAAGAACGAAAACAGAGCGAGACUCAAACCGUGAGAGUGUCAGAAGGGAAAAUCUCAGGUCCCUUCCCACUCUAAUGUUCCACGGUCCUGGAAUCCUCCACUUAAACCUCAAUGAAUUAUAGAAUCGUGAAGGAACUUCAGCCAUUGCAUUGUCCUGUCCAUGGGUGAGGAAUAAACUGUUGUGGUCAAUGAGGCAGAGAAGUUUGAGUCAAGCAGCUCUGGGAGUGGGAGUAGAGGGGGCUGCGCCUAGACCACCGCUGCUCCUUCACUCACCCCACUAUCUUCUCCUCACUGAAGAUGCCAGGCCAUGAUCUUUCAACAUCAAUGAUGCUGUCAGUCAUCAUAGAGAUCCCUUUGACAAGUCAGAAACUUGCCAAAUAUUACUGUGGCCAAUGCUAUUGUGAAGGAAACAGGAAGAAACAUGAUUCUCUGUACCAAGGUUUGGACUCUUAGCAAUAACGCAUGGAAGCGUGAAGUCAUGGGGUUUGACUCUAGGCCCCCACAUAUUGAAAGAAAGCAUUCAUUAAUAAUUGCAAAGGACAUACUCCAGCCCCGCUCCUUCCCUGUAAUGCAGACCCUGUGUGGGUAGGAAUUAAUAUGAGUAUAGGGACCAUAUCUCCCCCUUCUUUGUGUCUCCCACAUAGCUCAGCACAGUGCUUGCCGCUUCAUAAGAACUCAAUAAGUGAUUAAUAGAUUAAAGUGGAGAGUUCCUAGUUAGCAAUCUCACACCAGGCACAAAAUUCAUGAGACUCACCAUUGCUGGUGCCUAUGUAAAUUCAUCCUGCUCAGCCCUAUAUGCAAAUACAGUGGGUUUGUAGCCCUAAAGUUUUGAAGGCAUUGAUGUGUCCAAUCUGGAGAAAUUAAGGUAUUUUAUCCGGUUGCAUCUUUCAGUUUAAGAUAGUGUAUUUGACUAGAACAGAGAUUGUAACUUUUACUCAAGAGAUAUCUCUUCUGGUCUCAUUCUAUUAGUUACAGUAAGGUCCCAUCAUUAAAGACUUUACUCCUUUGCUGGGAGAGAACUUGUGAUGAGUGACUGACUUCAACAAUUGGCUGAGGGAACAAGAUUCAUUCAUUGAAUCAAAGAAAAAGAAUGUCAAGGAAAGACGAGAUUGUCAAAGAAUAAUUCUCUGAUGUGGAGAAAAGGGAACCCUUGUAGACUGCUGGUGGGAAUGGAAACUGGUGCAGCCACUGUGGAAAACAGUAUGCAGAUUUCUCAAAAAAUUAAGAAUAGAAAUACCAUACGAUCCAGCUAUCCCACUACUGGGUUUUUAUCCAAAGAUCUUGAAAUCAACAAUCCAAAGAAAUUUAUGCCCGUAUGUUCAUUGCAGCAUUAUUCACAGUAGCCAAGAUGUGGAAGCAACCCACUGCCCCGCUACAGAUCAAUGGAUAAAGAAGAUGUGGG
ensembl:lncRNA